rnacentral:lncRNA from 1 species
AUGAAUAGAUAAGUAAAAUAGACAAAAAAAUGUUUUGGAUUGGACAAAUGUAGACGUGAAAUGUUUAGACAGGUAAUACCUGGUACUUUUUUUGACCUUCCUGAUUUUAAUUAUAAAAGUGUUUUUUUUAUUUUAUUUUAUAACUUUUUUUUUUUAUUAAAUGGGCAUGACACUUCUGAUGCAAGCUACUGUUAUUUAACCAUUACAUUCAGUCAACUAUGUGACAACUCUGAUGAACUAGCGUGCAAAGCUUUGCCUAUCGAAGGGCCUAGAGCUCACUCUGGGGUGAAAGGUGGAUGUACCCCAUCAUCCUCUCGUCUUUCUUUCAACUUCACUACUUUGUCGUUUCUAUAACAAAGAAAUGGUCCGCAUCCCGGCCCCUCAUAACUCAGCUCUUCCUUUUUCUUUUCUGCAUUUUCUUUUCUUCUGCUCUUCUUUCUUUUCCCUUUUUGUUGUUCUUUUGCGUUAUAGCUAAACUAAGAUUUUCCAUGCAUGAGGGCAGUGCUAACACUCAUAGCAGGACUAUGGCUGCUGACGCCAAGCUACAAAAAUGCAUGAGGAGAGCGCGGGGCCUACAGCAGCGCAUGCAGCAACAGCAAGAGCAGCAGCAGGAGCCCAGCCGCCCACAGGGGGCCCACCAGUGAACAGCCUGGCCCGGUCCAAGUAUUGUUGACAGACAAUCAGGAAGAGGUCUUUGAGACCAAUCAGGAUUCUGUGCUUGGCUCAGCCUCUCCUCAACACAUGAAAUCACCCUCUUCUUGUACAGACAAAUACAACCCCCGGCCUGCCUUUUCUCAGCCACAGCCCCAAGAGCAUGAUGAACGCAGCAAUUGGUCGACCCAGAGUGAGAACGAAUGGGGUGGCAUCAGAUUAUCAGAUGUUCUCCAAGCAUCAGGCAUUCGGAUCAUGCCCAUACGCAAGCACCUUGCCAUAUCUCUACCCUCUUUGCCCCUUGACUUCUGGGAUGUAUUGGGAGAGGACGAAGAAGUCUCCAGCUGUCAGCACCCUCAAUCUCCAAAUCCUCCUUUGUGGCAGGGCACUGCAAAUAGUCUGGACCGGAUACUCCAAUCCAGCAAUACCAGUUCACCACCCGACCCUGUUGAGGAGAAGGGGCCAGUGCCCCAGCGAGCCCCCAUAUGGCAGACCCUGUGUGCAUCUUCUCAGCCCUGCACCAAAUUGACCCCUCCUGUUGCUGCCCGUCAUUGGUCCUCUUGGAGCCUAGACCGUCCAGAUGCUGUUGUCAACCCCUACAACACACCUUCUGAACAGAACCAGCGGACAGGACCUGCCAUUUCUCAACAAACACCUGGAAGACACCUUGUUCCUCACAGUCCCAUGAGCACCAGAAAGAAGAACAUCCCUAAGUACGCAAAAUCCAAAGCACGGAGUUGGAACCCACAGAGGCCGAGGACCAGGAACUCUCUGAAUUGGACUCACUUUACCAGGCCAGUCUGCAGGCUGGCCCGGGUCCUGGCCGUGCCCUGCGUGGUACCAGCUCGCCUGCUCUUGCGAGACCAGUACCUCCAGCUGCACGAAAGCUGCUCACUGGAGUUGGACGCUCUAGGACCCCCACAGCUGAGCUUGAGAGAACUGCUUAUGGACCACCAGGUUGUUGCAGCCCUACUGGAUACAUGA